AACUUGUAACAAUGUAUCUCGUGGCUCUCGCAUCGAUUAAGAACGCAGCGAAAUGCGAUAAGUAAUGUGAAUUGCAGAAUUCAGUGAAUCAUCGAACCUUUGAACGCACCUUGCGCCCCUUGGCAUUCCGAGGGGCACACCCGUUUGAGUGUCGUGAAAUUCUCAAGACCUCUUCCUUUGCCGGACAGGAUUUUGGACUUGGAGGCCUUUUGCUGGGUUCACCUCGAAGCGAGCUCCUCCCAAAUGGAUUAGUGGGGUCUGCUUGGCCGAUCCUUGACGUGAUAAGAUGCUUCUACGUCUCGGGUUUUGGCACUGUGCCUCUGCUUCUAACCGUCUCAUUGACAACGAUGGUGUUCCGGUCACCGCCGAUUCGUCGGUGGGAGGCUUGACCCACAAAACGACCUUGACCUCAAAUCGGGUGAGACUACCCGCUGAACUUAAGCAUAUCAAUAAGCGGAGGCU
rnacentral:misc_RNA from 1 species